UUUUUUUUUUUUUAAGUUGGUAACUCCCCUCAAAAUGUUUCAAAGCUAAGGUUGUAUCCUAUAUUUUAUGGUAUUUAACAGAGCUCUUGUUCAAACAUUUGCAGAGAUCUGGAGUUGCUUUUAGUGAAGUCUUGAUUACUGCAAGGCACUGCAUAUAGAGGAAGGAGUGCUGGAAGAGGGACCUACGCUCUCCUUUCACGUAAUUUCACAACUUGGUGGUCUUGGCCAACGCACUUAGCCUCUCAGUUUCCCCACCAAUAAAAUGCAGGUAAUAAUGCUCUCCACCUUACAAGGUUGUGUGAGGUUUACAGCUAUUGUAUGUAAAGAUAGAGCAUGUGUCUGGCACAUAAAAAAACUUUAGUGAGCACACUAGCUAUAAUUUCUAAAAACUGCCUGCAGGCAUUGCAGUAGAGAAAAAAACUUCAUGAGGACAAGAACACAUCUGAGGGCUUUCAUUUUUAUAACAAAGGGUCAGGUUUGCCACCCCUAGUCUGAAAGUCAGUAGCCAAUGGAUAGCUCCAGUCUCCAUCAUGGAUGCUUGCACUUCAGGUAUUCAAUAGUGAUGGUCAGGUAUGAUUUUCAAACUGACUGAUGUGGUCAAACACCUUGAAAUUAUAAGCCACUGCGUGCUACUGGCUAUGGAACACCAUUAAAUCUUGAAAUGUUUAAUUUUGUUAUAAGAAAUAGGAACAAUUUUAUUUGUAAAAUACAUGAUUAUAUUUCAUAUUUUAAAACAAAUAAAUGAUGGUUUCCUCUUCAAAAUAAGCUGUUGAGCCAAGUACCCUACAUAGUCAAUAGCAUUUUCUAUUCAUAUUUGUUAUUUGAUUAUACAAUGAGGCAAGGUUCAACCAAAAUACAGAUUACAAAAACAGUUAUCUAAGAAUUUUUAUCCACUUUUUUUUUUUCCGAUCUUUCAGUGGGGGAAAAAAAAGAAAGCAAUCAUUUGAUUACAGAUAGUGAGAUGGCUUAGUCCAGCCCACAGGACAUCUGUGUUUUGAUGGAGAUAAGUUUAAGAACCAGCAGUCUUGGAAUUAUGCAGCAGAUUUUGCCAAGAUUUGCAGAUUUCUUUCUCAAUAUCUAAUCAAACCUCCAGCGAUUACGGACCUGGUGGCCUGGAGCUUUGCAAAGAACUACAAUUUAACCUCAUUACUUAAGUUUAUAUUGAUGAACAAAAUGGUUAGCACAGUUCUUUUCUUUUUCUUGCAAAAACUAGACUGAAAGUUCUACGCAUCAUACUGUUCCGGUCUCUUUACAAUAUCUUCUCAAUGUGUAGUGAUAGGCAAAUGUUCCUCUACUCCGAUGAACGUUAAUGUUUCACUUCAACAGAGAAUACAAUAAAAACUAUAAAAAGGUAAAAAAACACUAAUAUUUAUGUUCUGUAUAGGCUGCAGGAAACUCAGUGUGAAAGUUUAUUAUGCAAACCGCGUCAUUCUUGUCAUACCCAACUAAAAAAGAGUCGAGAGGCCAGCGGGAAAAAGUACUCAAGACACAGCACAUGCUCCAAGAAUUGAAUUUUCUCCAAGCCCAGCUGUUGAAACAGCCUGCUGUAACCAUAAGACCAGUUUUACUUAGCAGCUGCUGAAACAACCUGCUAUGCCUUUAAGACUAGUUCUAUCUACUACCAUCACUCACCAAUCAGACCCGGGCAGCUCCCACUAGCUUCUCUAGUGCCAGUGAACUUUCUUUCAAAACAGUAAAUAACAUUUCUCUUUCUAAUAAAACCUCCAAUCUUUCCUUUGUUCUUUGGACAUGCUGAAGAUCAUCCAGUCUGUCUGUAUGCCCCAAAAUGUGAUUCUAUGAUUCCCAAAUAAAAUGUUAAAUUUAGAGAUUUGUCUCUGUAUUUUAUUUUGACUUUGACAUCAGUUUAAGUUUUUUUUU
ensembl:lncRNA